rnacentral:rRNA from 1 species
GUAGGGAAUAUUGCACAAUGGGGGAAACCCUGAUGCAGCGACGCCGCGUGAGUGAUGAAGGCCUUCGGGUCGUAAAGCUCUGUCGUAUGGGACUAACACAAUGAAGGUACCAUGCAAGAAAGGAUCGGCUAACUUCGUGCCAGCAGCCGCGGUAAGACGAGGGAUCCUAGCGUUGUUCGGAAUCAUUGGGCGUAAAGCGGGUGUAGGCGGAUUUAUAAGUCAGGUGUGAAAUCCCAGGGCUCAACCCUGGAAGUGCACUUGAUACUGUAAAUCUUGAGUGUGGUAGAGGUUACUGGAAUUGUUGGUGUAGUGGUGAAAUACGUAGAUAUCAACAGGAAUACCGGAGGCGAAGGCGAGUAACUGGGCCAACACUGACGCUGAGACCCGAAAGCGUGGGGAUCAAACAGGAUUAGAAACCCCGGUAGUC